CCCUGCGCCUUGGACCGGCAUCCACAGCCAUGGACAGAGGUCCCUGGUCUUCCCUCAUCCUCCGUGGCUGCCUCCAUGGGACAAGGACCGAUUCCAACACAGGCUCCUCUUUCCCCCUUCCCGACAUCAGCAGAAGGCAGCGUCCCUGCAUGCCAUCCAUAUACAACCCCUCUUUGAGAAAAGACACAGAGAAUAAACUCCUACGAAAGCCCUACAUUGAGCUCCAAUCUGCUCUCGGGGUGGGACGGGUGCUCCCCACAUCUCUGGGAGAAGGCUGCAGCCACCUGGGGUCCCAGGGUGGUGGGGGUGGCAGGUGGUGCCACAGCUCUGAGAGCAGAUACCAGGGGUACUAAGAGGUGCUUAGACAAGGGCUGGUGCCCCGCCAUGGGUGCCCAGCCCAGUAGGGCCAUGCCAUGACAGAUAAAGCUCAGGACGUCAGAAACUCACCAUGGACACCAAAGCAGAAACCAAGGACCGUCCGCAGGCAAAUAAGCACCCAGCAUCCCUCCCGGCUGUUGGUGCCCCAUACCCUGUAUUUAUUCUUUUAACAAUAACAAAAGCCAUUUAUUUAUUCCAUCUAGAAAGGAAACCUUGUUUCAGUCCCCUCUCUCUGGCUGUUCUGUUACUUUCCUCCCACCUGUGCCCUCCCUGGGAUGUGUAUGCCUUGCCCGCCCUCCCUGGGCACAUGUGCACACGUGCCCAGGCACAAGUGUGUCUUUGGGUCCCUUGCCCUGCAGUUUCCAGAGGGCUCUGCUCCAAGUUCCCUAGCGGGCCCUUCAGGGAGGAAGAGCCUCACGUGCAGUCUGGGUGUCUUCGGGGGCCCAUCUGGAGGGGCUGCAGCAAUUCCCCUGGGUCUCCAGGUAGCCAGUUAACUCUUGGGCUCAGGCAUCCUUGCACAUGGUUGCAUUUCUUUAGUCUUCUGUGGGUCUUUUGGUGUGAGUUUGAUUUUGCUUUUGCUUUUCUAGCUGAGUUUUCCCAAGUACAUCCUCAGAAGCUCCGGGUGUGCCAGAGGACCCCCGGAACUAAGAAGGGAGGGCGAGUGGGUCUCCAUUCCCUGAGAAGCUAGGGGCAGAGUCAAGCCUCACAGAAGCCAGCAUGGGUCUGCUCAGCACCCCAGCUGGGGCUCGGGCCCAGGGAAACAGCCCCAGUUCAUCCCAACCCCUCUCAGAGCCUCAAGAGGGGUGGCUCGGCUGCCAGCAAGAGAGGGGUGCUCUGUCCCUGGCAACCCCUCCACGUUGCAUACCCCAGCACCUGCCACCGCCUUUGCCAUUUCUUUGAGCUUGAAGUUAACUCUCUUAAGAGUCUAACUUUGGUUCAUUUCUGCACAGGUACAAUAGAUGACUUUAUUUGUUUAAAAUGUUUAAUAUAUAUACAUACAUAUAUAUAUAUUUGUCUGUAAGAAUUAUGUUUUAAACAGCUGCUGUAGAGUACCUUUUUUUAAGUAAAUCUUCCAGUGGAGUAUAUUUUUUAAAGCACAAAAUUGGUGCCAAGACUGGGUGAGAAAUGUACAUUAACCCCUUAUUAUUUUGAGGUUUUUGGUUUUUUUUCCGGGGCAGGGGACCUUAUCUGUAAGACUUUCAAAGAUUUUCCUCCCUCCUGUUUCAGGUGGGUCACAUUCUGGUGAAUGUUUCCCUUGUACAGAUACCAGCUUAUGGCCUUGACUCAGCCGUCCCCACGGAUGCUGGGUGACCCUCUAGCUCUGUCUGCAUCUCCCACCCCCUGAUGCCCUGGGACCCUCGACCCCACCCUUCUUUCCUCCCAGCCCAGAGCCUUGUGGCUUGUACAGUUUUGAAACUCCCGUUCUAUUUUAUGAUGGUUGAUAAUAGUCAGUAACCUAAUAAAGGAACGUUUGUUAAAAUAUCAAA